AGUGAACGCUGGCGGUAGGCCUAACACAUGCAAGUCGAACGGCAGCACAGUAAGAGCUUGCUCUUACGGGUGGCGAGUGGCGGACGGGUGAGGAAUACAUCGGAAUCUACUUUUUCGUGGGGGAUAACGUAGGGAAACUUACGCUAAUACCGCAUACUACCUACGGGUGAAAGCAGGGGAUCUUCGGACCUUGCGCGAUUGAAUGAGCCGAUGUCGGAUUAGCUAGUUGGCGGGGUAAAGGCCCACCAAGGCGACGAUACGUAGCUGGUCUGAGAGGAUGAUCAGCCACACUGGAACUGAGACACGGUCCAGACUCCUACGGGAGGCAGCAGUGGGGAAUAUUGGACAAAGGGCGCAAGCCUGAUCCAGCCAUACCGCGUGGGUGAAGAAGGCCUUCGGGUUGUAAAGCCCUUUUGUUGGGAAAGAAAAGCAGCAGGUUAAUACCCCGCUGUUCUGACGGUACCCAAAGAAUAAGCACCGGCUAACUUCGUG
rnacentral:rRNA from 1 species